UAGAAUAGUUAGGGCUGGAAAGGACCUUAAGAUCAUUGAGUUCCAACUCCCUGCCAUAGGCAGGGAUGCCUCACACUAGAACAUUUCACCCAAGGCUCUGUCCAACCUGGCCUUGAACACUGCAAAGGAUGGAGCAUUUACCACUUCUUUGGGCAACCUGUGCCAUUGCCUCACCACCCUCACAGUAAAGAACUCCUUCCUUAUCUCCAACCUGAACUUUCCCUGUUUCAGUUUGAACCCAUCACCCCUUGUCCUAUCACUCCAGUCCCUGAUGAAGAGCCCCUCUCCAGCAUCCUUGGAGCCCCCUUCAGACACUGGAAACUGCUCUGAAGUCUCCACGCAGUCUUCUCUUCUCCAGGCUGAGCAGCCCCAACUUUCUCAGCCGAUCUUCAUAUGGGAGGUGCUCCAUCCCCUGAUCAUCCUCGCGGCCUCCUCUGGACUUGUUCCAACAGAUCCAUGUCCUUUUUAUGUUGAGGACACCAGAACUGCACACAAUACUCCAAGUGAGGUCUCACGAGAGCAGAGUAGAGGGGCAGGAUCACCUCCUUCGACCUGCUGGUCACGCUCCUUUUGAUGCAGCCCAGGAUACGGUUGCUUUCUGGGCUGCAAGCGCACACUGAAGCCGGCUCAUGUUCAUUUUCUCAUGGACCAGCACCCCCAAGUCCUUCUCCUCAGGGCUGCUCUGAAUCUCUUCUCUGCCCAGCCUGUAGCUGUGUCUGGGAUUGCUCCGACCCAGGUGUAGGACCUUGCACUUGGCAUGGUUAAACUUCAUGAGGUUGGCAUCAGCCCACCUCACAAGCGUGUCAAGGUCCCUCUGGAUGGCAUUCCUUCCCUCCAGCGGAUCAACCGAACCACACAGCUUGGUGUCAUCGGCAAACUUGCUGAGGGCGCACUCAA